GCCGCCGUAACGUAGCUUGGUAGCGUACAGGCCUGAAAAGCCUGGAGGCCGGGUUCAAACCACCCCAACAGGGUGUGAACGUCCCGGCGGCGGCCCCA
rnacentral:tRNA from 2 species